GAGCGGGUGACGGGAGCUUGCUCCUUGAUUCAGCGGCGGACGGGUGAGUAAUGCCUAGGAAUCUGCCUGGUAGUGGGGGACAACGUUUCGAAAGGAACGCUAAUACCGCAUACGUCCUACGGGAGAAAGCAGGGGACCUUUGGGCCUUGCGCUAUCAGAUGAGCCUAGGUCGGAUUAGCUAGUUGGUGGGGUAAUGGCUCACCAAGGCGACGAUCCGUAACUGGUCUGAGAGGAUGAUCAGUCACACUGGAACUGAGACACGGUCCAGACUCCUACGGGAGGCAGCAGUGGGGAAUAUUGGACAAUGGGCGAAAGCCUGAUCCAGCCAUGCCGCGUGUGUGAAGAAGGUCUUCGGAUUGUAAAGCACUUUAAGUUGGGAGGAAGGGCAGUAAGUUAAUACCUUGCUGUUUUGACGUUACCGACAGAAUAAGCACCGGCUAACUCUGUG
rnacentral:rRNA from 1 species